UUUGCAGCCUUGUGAAGCUGCUCCCUGCAAGGACUGUUGCAUGCGAGCACAACAAGGUGGCAGAAAGCAACUCAAAGAAUGAAAAGGCGUGACUUCUGGAGGCUCAGGAGUGUCACGUGCGAUGUUCCUUGGACAGAUUCCUGCCUCCCACGGCGGUGAUGGCCUCGCUCUGUAGCCAUCACCUUUCUUGAGGCAGGCAGAGUAAAAACCUUUGACAGCCUGAUAUUGUUUGAAACAGGUGAAGCUCUUCCUGUCAGACACUUUCAGCUGUCACAAAC
rnacentral:snoRNA from 1 species